rnacentral:ncRNA from 1 species
CUUAUCGAGAGUGGUGGAGGGAACGGCCCUGUGAAGCCCGGCAACCUGCAUUCAGCAAGGUGCCAAAUCCGGCGGUAUACGCAAGAUGAG